rnacentral:misc_RNA from 1 species
GCUGCGCGGCCAUCUCAAGGCCGAAGGUCAGGAAGAGACCGGAUCGCAAUCCUACGUGCCGCCGGAUGCGAAGGACGACAAGGCGCUGAAGAUGGCUGCGGACCUCCUGCACGGCAUCAAGCAGACCACCUCGGCUCCUGCUCCGACCGACAAGGCCACCAACAAGGCCGCGAACUAAAGCGCAGGCGAACAUAUCAAUUCGAUCAGGGCGGCCUUCCGGGCCGCCCUUUUU